AUAUCAGAUUAGCUAGUUGGUGGGGUAAAAGCUCACCAAGGCGACGAUCUGUAGCUGGUCUGAGAGGACGACCAGCCACACUGGAACUGAGACACGGUCCAGACUCCUACGGGAGGCAGCAGUGGGGAAUUUUGGACAAUGGGCGCAAGCCUGAUCCAGCAAUGCCGCGUGCAGGAUGAAGGCCUUCGGGUUGUAAACUGCUUUUGUACGGAACGAAAAGGUUCUUUCUAAUAAAGAGAGCCCAUGACGGUACCGUAAGAAUAAGCACCGGCUAACUACGUGCCAGCAGCCGCGGUAAUACGUAGGGUGCGAGCGUUAAUCGGAAUUACUGGGCGUAAAGCGUGCGCAGGCGGUUAUGUAAGACAGAUGUGAAAUCCCCGGGCUCAACCUGGGACCUGCAUUUGUGACUGCAUAGCUAGAGUACGGUAGAGGGGGAUGGAAUUCCGCGUGUAGCAGUGAAAUGCGUAGAUAUGCGGAGGAACACCGAUGGCGAAGGCAAUCCCCUGGACCUGUACUGACGCUCAUGCACGAAAGCGUGGGGAGCAAACAGGAUUAGAUACCCUGGUAGUCCACGCCCUAAACGAUGUCAACUGGUUGUUGGGUCUUCACUGACCCAGUAACGAAGCUAACGCGUGAA
rnacentral:rRNA from 1 species